rnacentral:rRNA from 1 species
CCUACGGGAGGCAGCAGUGGGGAAUUUUGGACAAUGGGGGAAACCCUGAUCCAGCAAUGCCGCGUGAGUGAAGAAGGCCUUCGGGUUGUAAAGCUCUUUUGUCAGGGAAGAAACACCGGCUCUAACACAGUCCGGGAAUGACGGUACCUGAAGAAUAAGCACCGGCUAACUACGUGCCAGCAGCCGCGGUAAUACGUAGGGUGCGAGCGUUAAUCGGAAUUACUGGGCGUAAAGCGUGCGCAGGCGGUUAUACAAGACAGGCGUGAAAUCCCCGGGCUUAACCUGGGAAUGGCGCCUGUGACUGUAUAGCUAGAGUGUGUCAGAGGGGGGUAGAAUUCCACGUGUAGCAGUGAAAUGCGUAGAUAUGUGGAGGAAUGCCAAUGGCGAAGGCAGCCCCCUGGGAUAACACUGACGCUCAUGCACGAAAGCGUGGGGAGCAAACAGGAUUAGAUACCCUGGUAGUCCACGCCCUAAACGAUGCUGACUAGUUGUUCGGGAUUUACAUCCUGAGUAACGUAGCUAACGCGUGAAGUCAGCCGCCUGGGGAGUACGGUCGCAAGAUUAAAACUCAAAGGAAUUGACGG